rnacentral:rRNA from 1 species
UACGUAGGGGGCCAGCGUUGUUCGGAAUUACUGGGUGUAAAGAGCUCGUAGGCGGUUUGUCGCGUCUGCUGUGAAAACUCGGGGCUUAACUCCGGGCCUGCAGUGGGUACGGGCAGACUAGAGUGCGGUAGGGGAGACUGGAAUUCCUGGUGUAGCGGUGAAAUGCGCAGAUAUCAGGAGGAACACCGGUGGCGAAGGCGGGUCUCUGGGCCGUAACUGACGCUGAGGAGCGAAAGCGUGGGGAGCGAACAGG